UUGCAGAGACUCCCAUGAUCAGACACGACUCAGGAAGUCAAAAGCCGUUGAAACAGUAGGCUACAUGUCAGAUGGGAGAAGAAAUCUCUUGGCAACAAGCAGUGGGAUCAAAGCAACAAGUUACCUGGUCCUGUUCCAUCAGAUUGCAAUAGCAUCACAGAUUUAUAUGGACAACAGGCUUUGGAAGGAGGCGUUUCAGAGUAAACGGUGCUACUGGAUAAUACUGUUGAGUAAGAAUCAACCAAUGAGACCACUUCAAAUAAAAAUGCUCUAUAGAGCAAAGACAGCAGCACGGUGAAGAGAUAACCUACUGAAGAGGAGCGAAUCCUUGCUGACUGCUCUUCCCAAGGGGACUAGUAUCUGCGCUAUAUGAAAUACUUAAAAACUAACCCAAUAAACACAACAAAAUUAUUCUAAUUUACUCCCUGUCAAAGAAUAGCACCU
rnacentral:lncRNA from 1 species